AGUUUGAUCCUGGCUCAGAUUGAACGCUGGCGGCAGGCCUAACACAUGCAAGUCGAACGGUAGAGAGAAGCUUGCUUCUCUUGAGAGCGGCGGACGGGUGAGUAAUGCCUAGGAAUCUGCCUGGUAGUGGGGGAUAACGUUCGGAAACGGACGCUAAUACCGCAUACGUCCUACGGGAGAAAGCAGGGGACCUUCGGGCCUUGCGCUAUCAGAUGAGCCUAGGUCGGAUUAGCUAGUUGGUGGGGUAAUGGCUCACCAAGGCGACGAUCCGUAACUGGUCUGAGAGGAUGAUCAGUCACACUGGAACUGAGACACGGUCCAGACUCCUACGGGAGGCAGCAGUGGGGAAUAUUGGACAAUGGGCGAAAGCCUGAUCCAGCCAUGCCGCGUGUGUGAAGAAGGUCUUCGGAUUGUAAAGCACUUUAAGUUGGGAGGAAGGGCCGUUACCUAAUACGUGAUGGUUUUGACGUUACCGACAGAAUAAGCACCGGCUAACUCUGUGCCAGCAGCCGCGGUAAUACAGAGGGUGCAAGCGUUAAUCGGAAUUACUGGGCGUAAAGCGCGCGUAGGUGGUUUGUUAAGUUGGAUGUGAAAUCCCCGGGCUCAACCUGGGAACUGCAUUCAAAACUGACUGACUAGAGUAUGGUAGAGGGUGGUGGAAUUUCCUGUGUAGCGGUGAAAUGCGUAGAUAUAGGAAGGAACACCAGUGGCGAAGGCGACCACCUGGACUGAUACUGACACUGAGGUGCGAAAGCGUGGGGAGCAAACAGGAUUAGAUACCCUGGUAGUCCAAUCCCGCG
rnacentral:rRNA from 1 species